CACGUAGGGGCCAAGCGUUGUCCGGAUUCAUUGGGCGUAAAGAGCUCGUAGGCGGUUCAGUCAGUCGGGUGUGAAAUCUCCGGGCUCAACUCGGAGGGGCCACCCGAUACUGCUGUGACUCGAGUCCGGUAGGGGAGUGGGGAAUUCCUGGUGUAGCGGUGAAAUGCGCAGAUAUCAGGAGGAACACCGGUGGCGAAGGCGCCACUCUGGGCCGGUACUGACGCUGUGACGCGAAAGCGUGGGGAGCAAACAGG
rnacentral:rRNA from 1 species